rnacentral:rRNA from 1 species
CGAAGGGGGCUAGCGUUGUUCGGAAUUACUGGGCGUAAAGCGAGUGUAGGCGGUUGCCCAAGUCAGGUGUGAAAGCCUUGAGCUCAACUCAAGAAAUGCACUUGGUACUGGGUGACUAGAGGACCGGAGAGGAUAGUGGAAUUCCCAGUGUAGUGGUGAAAUACGUAGAGAUUGGGAAGAACACCAGUGGCGAAGGCGGCUAUCUGGACGGUUACUGACGCUAAGACUCGAAAGCGUGGGGAGCAAACAGGAUUAGAUACCCUGGUAGUCCACGCCGUAAACGAUGGGUGCUAGACGUUGGCGAGCUUGCUCGUCAGUGUCGCAGCUAACGCGUUAAGCACCCCGCCUGGGGAGUACGGCCGCAAGGUUG